UUACGGCCAUAUCACGUUCAAACACCGGUUCCCGUAUGAUCACAGAAGUUAAGCAAUAUCAAAACUGAUCGGUACCAAGAUGGGUGACCUCUUGGGAAUAUCAGUUGCUA